ACCAGGUAUUGUUCAUGAGGGGCCAGCUGAUCUCUAGCCUACUUGACAGGAUGAGAAGCCUGCAAGCACUGUCACCACCCUUACAGGAAACAGGUGUAAGUGCUUGCAGGAAAAGGCUCAAGUGUACUCUGUUGACAAAAGUAAACGAGUGCUGGUGGUGGGGACAUUCAUACAUAUAAGCAGACAGAGCAGCAGUCCCCCAGGAAUGCUCUUUUCUACAAGAGGUGACCCUUCAAUGCUUUUAGCAUUGCCACCAGCAGCUGGAAGCAUAUAGAGUUCAGGAACUAGCUGCGUAACCAGUCACCUUGUGAAUACAGAGGCGGCACCACAGGAAUUCUCUUUCUGAAGAAAACCAAGACAACGGACUUCACGUUGCUGUUGGGACUUCAAAGAUCGGACCCAGGCGCCCUGUUCAUGGUUGCAGCCACCCAGCACCUCUGUGAGCAGCACGGCCCAGCAUCCCUGGCACUGGUGGGGACGCGGGGUGGUGACGGGAGCCGUGCCCUGCCUGCUACCCCCCUGUGAGCGUGUGGCAGGGCUCGCUGGAGCACAGCCGCCUCUCCGUGAGGCAGCACCUGGAGACGCCUGCUCUCACCUGCGGUCCAGAUGUACCCGAGGUGCCCAACCUCCAGUGUGCUGGUGGCCCCUGCCUCUCCCCAGGAAGUGCUGCAGCUCCACGAAAAAAUGAGUCACCAAUAAGAGAUGGGAAAACAUCGACAUAUAUCAUCAGCUCUCCAGGCCCGCUCUUUGUCCCAAGUGCUGACGGAUUAAAAGCCUGAUGGCCGAGGGAAGGCUGGCAGGGCGUGCAGCUCACCUAAGUGAGUGCCACACAAGCAGAUGAGAUAUAGUCCGAACUACAUUUGCAUCAGAGGUAGUCUGAAGAAAACAAAGCAAGGACAUUUAAUCUGAGAAGUUCUCCCAAAUCACGCCUCUUCCAUUGAUAACAGAAGGGGUUUGAGCAAAACUUUCUGCAGUGGCUGAUGAUGAAUAAGUAUCUCACGUAAAGCUCUCAGGCAGGUUCCUCAGACCUGUCUGUGGUCCUGUCGUUCAACAAGAGCAGUGGAGGGGAGGGGAGCAGAGCCAGAUGAAAGUGUAAACUGUAGGAUUUCCCCAGCACGAGCAGACCGGUGGCUGGCACAAGGCUGGUAUCCCCGCUGUCCCCUCAGCCGUGCCUCCUCCUGCUGCAGCCUUCGCUGCUGUCCCCACAGCAUGGGUACAGUGCUUGAGGUGCCUGCCUCCAGGUCUUGGCCCCAACCACCCGUGGGGACAGGAACCUGAUGUUACCCCCAUCUCACAUCAGUCCCGGCUUCCCUGGCAGUGCUGAGCUCUAGCCAGCGGGAGCUCAUUCCCUCUCUCCUGGUUUUACUGAGCGUGAAGGUGAGCUCGGCACAAUUUGUGAUUUUUUUCAAAGAAAUGAAGGUGUGAAAUGCCUCCCUAAGGCGCUGGCACGGGGUGAUGAGCAGGAGAGGCCAUCGCCCCCACCAAGGCAUGUUUGGAGGAGCCCGCUGGUGCAGCGUGCUCCUUGAGGUGAAAACACAGCAAACGCACCCGCCGCAGCCUGCCUACUCCAUAGUAUUUCCUGGUAUUUUGAGGAGACGGAAAGCAAGCUGAAAUGUUCUGGUGCUUUAAAGGAGGACUAAGCAUUGGUGGGAGGCUUGUUUAGUAUCUGAGUGGGAUCAUGACUACGAUGUUCAUCUGCAUGUUACCAGCACGGAAAAUACGCAAUUGGGAGCGGUUUGAAGACGAGUAGGCUCAGGAAGAAAGGGAAACUAUUCCAGGGAGGGAGGAGGUAGCGGCUGCUAACGCUUGCAGCACGAAGAUCGUGGAAAAGCUGGAGAUAUCAGACCGGGAUAAUCUGCAGAAGGAGGAGAUCAGGCACAGAUCAACACUUUAUGGGAGGCUACCCUAAAAGCGUUCUGGCAGGAUGGCAUUUACCCUCGGGGCAGCAGCAGGGUGGGUGCCAAACCUGCCUGUUGAAGCAGCAGGAGGUUACCAGCCAAAUGUGCACACCAUGACCCCGGGGGACCUUUCUUUCCAACGUGCCUUCAGUUUGCUGGCGUGUAGAGGAGCUGGCAGCCACGCUUCACACCAGUGAUGAUGCAACGUAGCUCUCCUUUCAGAAGUGUCUCCAUAAAGCUGACAGAUGCUGUUAUCGCCUGGUUCUGCCCAGAUCGCUAGCCCCGGUGUUCCAGGUGGUUUUUGGGUGAUGUAUAAGCGAGCAGGGAGCAGCAUGUGCAGGAUGGAUGCAAGGUGUCUUCCAGCGCGUGCCUAGCAGGGUAGUCAUCUGCACAGUGUGGUAGUCUUUCAAGUAUGUGACAAAGCCAACAAAUAGCUUGCUGCUUUUGCCUGAUGCUCACAGCCAGGGAAGGAACAUUUGCAGCUCACUUAGGAUUUCGGUGUGUUUGGCAGGUUGGUUCAAGGCACCAUGACUUUCUAGCAAUGCUCCUGCAGUAUUCUUCACAUUCUUUUGUCUGAGAGAGGGGAAAAUGUAUGACUGAUUCCUGCUUAAUUAGGCCUCAUCUGCUAAACACUUUUGUCACUAUUUACAUAUGAGUAGUCCCACUGAAGUCAGGUCCAACAGCUGUAUACUUCAUCUGGUAACAAUGUAAAUCCAAGAUAAACACACUUGGAACAAGAGAUGUACAUUGCCUUAUAUGUAUGAACUACCUGAAUAGAGCAAAUGCUGUGUCGUACAAUUCUGGCAAGGGCUAACAGCUAUCCUGUUUCAACACCCUGUAAGCAGAUCACCUGAUUAUUAGUCUUAAAUGAUGGACUAAACUCUUCACACUAGUGCUGACUUUUACUCAAGAGUUAUGACUUGCCAAACGAGUAACUUAGAUUAAUUGUUUAUCCCUGUGAUAAGAUGAAGAAAAAAAAAAUAAUCCUCCACAUGUAUUCCCAUCAAGUAUGUUUUUGUGGCUGGGUGUCCCAUGGCCUCAGGAUCUGUUCUCUUGGAGGUAACAACCAGUCAGGAAUGGGACACAGGGAGAGGAAAUGGCUGGAAACUCGAUAGGCAGCUGGGUUUAAUUCUGUCUCAGCCCCUUUCCUCAUUCCUUUCUUGCAGGAGUCUCUCUGAGCUGCCUGCCAGGGAUCCUUCUCCACCGCUGUUAUGCAUUCACUCGUGUCCUGUCUUUGGCUCUGGUCCCUCAGAGCAACGUGGGCUGUUCUGUCACUAGUGAGGGUCUGUGUGGGGACUGUGACUGCUCUGUCUACCUCCUCCUCCUCUUCUGCCAAGAAGCUUUGCUUUUUGGCAUCCCACAUCACCCCACCCAUGACAUUUUGGUCCAUACUCCAUAUCUCUACUGUCUUGAUUACUGUGCUUGUUUUUUUUUCAUGAAUUACUUCAGACUGCCAUGAUUGAGGCAAUGUAGAGCAAAAUCUCCCUUCAGCAAACACAUGCUUAAUUUGGCCUGAUGACCGUGGGAUGGGUUAUCAGCUGUUGCCUAUUCCAGUGAAGUGGGUGGGGUGGGGUUGGAUAAUCUUAAGCAGAAUAGUUCCCCAGCAGCUCUUUGAGAUAGCUCUCUAAAUGAGUAUUUUUGCUUGUUGUUCUGUCAGCAUAGCCCUACCUUAGUAUCCUUGGUAAAGCUCAUCCAUUUGCUCUGGGCUAGGCUACUAUACCAGCCUGAACUGACUGUGUGUCCUGUUCUUGCUGUGGGUCCUUCUUAGAAAGCCUUCUGUGGAAGUUUUUAGUAAGUUUAAUGUUAAUAAAUCAUUAUACUACUGUGAUCCAGCAAAGUUUCCUUCUGGACAUCCUUAAUGACUGAGAACUUUGUCAGAAAGUGAAAAUAUCUGGAAGUUAAUGAGGUGAGAAGUAGGGGAGGAACAGAUAGACUACUUUGUUACAAAUGAUACAGCUAGACCGACUUUCUGGAUGAAAGACUACAUUUCUUGAGUUUUGAAGCACCAAGGUGGCGGAGAGUUGAAGCUUGCGGAUAUUGCAAAGGGUUAUUAGAUUCAUAAGUCACACCAAGUGGUGGGCGAUCCACUGAGCAAAGCAGAAGUUCUCACAUGAUGACUUCAAACAAGACACAUUACCUUCCAGCAUCUGUUGGGGAGACUGGAUUUUAAGACACUUCUGUCUCCAGGACAGCAAAGAAACAAUGGAUCUGGUACCACGGGCUGGGCUGUCUGGCACUUGGCGUGCCGGAGGACGGGACCCGCGGCGGCCGGCAGCACGGCGGUGCGGGCAGCGCAACUUUCCCCGGAACGCUCCGCUGCGGGGCUGCGCCGGGAUCCCCGCCUCGGAGAAACUUGGAGCCGCCGGGGAGCGGCGCGGAGCCGCCACCCGCUGCCGACGGCUGUCCCCAGGCGGGCCGGGGGCCGGGCCCUAGC